AUAGAAGAAGGAAUAUUUGCUCAAGCCGUUCAGCACUAUCAUUGUAUACUACAGAUAAUUUCAGAAACUAUUCCAUUUGUAUGAGGAAAAAUGAACAUUUAAUAAAUACAUCAGCUUUUCAUAAGUCCCAGAAACCUUAUUUUUUAAACCAAGAUGACGAAAAGCAAAUUAAAAAAAUCCUAAAAAAUACAAUCAUUGACUGUUGUGCUGACGGGUAAAUGGUGUGUGUGUGUGUGUGUGUACGUGUGUUUGCACACACCGCCAACUGAGGACAAUCCUUAGAAAUAACAGCAACGAUUGAGACCAUUACCGCCAACUGAGGACGGUCUCAUUUGGCAUUUUUUUAAGGUAGUCUCAAAGUUCGUUUUAUGACUUGAAACGAAAAAUAAUAUCAUAAAAAUGGACUGUCCUCAGUUGGAGGUCAGAAGGGUCAAGUGUAUGGGAAGUGCGUGACCGUCCGUAAAUUUCCAUUUUUUGCCUCUUUUUUGGUCACACUCCAGUGGUCUCGAUUGGCGGUGUUACGCGCAUCAUCAACUGGACAGUGCCAUGAUGUGAAUACUGUUGAUACUGAUGAUGUGGAUGCUGAUGAUGUGGAUGAUGAUAAUGUGGAUGCCUCCGGACUGAAAUAGCUGGACAGUGCCAUGAUGUGAAUACUGUUGAUACUGAUGAUGUGGAUACUGUUCAUACUGAUGAUAUAAUGCUGAUAAUGUGGAUAUUGAUGAUGUAGAUGCCCCGGAUGAUCAACCAGGGACUAAUAGAGCUGGACAGUGCCAUGAUGUGAAUACUGAUGAUACUGAUGAUGGGGAUGCUGAUGAUGUGGAUGUUGAUAAUGUUGAUGCCUCCGUUGAUCAACCAGGGACUGAAAUAGCUGGACAGUGCCAUGAUGUGAAUACUGUUGAUACUAAUGAUGUGGAUGUUGAUAAUGUUGAUGCCUCCGUUGAUCAACCAGGGACUGAAAUAGGUCAACUCGAAGCAGUCGUAAAUGCUGGGAUUGGC